GUCACGUAGUCCUCCUAACUGCCCUCAGCCUGGGCCUUCAGCCCCCUUCCUUCUGUAGAUCUGGUGGCUUCAGCUGUUUUGUCACUGGAGAGAGGAAACUGGUCGUGCAGAAAGUAGGAGGAGGAGGUAAAUCACAGUGAAGCUGCUCUGUAGCCCAAAAGCUGCUUCUUGUUCUACCUCUAUGGGCUCUGGGGGGAAAACUGCCCUGGACCUGAAUCCUAACCCCAAUAACUCCUACCUCUGUGAACUUCGACAAGUGACUUUAACCUCUUUGAAUCUUAAGUUCCUUAACUAUAAAACAGGGACAAUAAUGGUACCUUCCUCAUACAGUUACUAUUCAGGAAUACAGAGAUGUGCAUAAAACUCUUCAGCACCAUAGCUGGCACCUUAGCACAUGUUCAAUAAGCAUGUGUUCUAUGAUGAUUACGACCACAACAGAACCUGAGGACGCGUUGGGAGGGCAGUGCCUCCCUGACAGAGCAGCUCAACACCGUGGGAGCGCGGGAACCUCGAAUUCAGAGCCCUCGGACCACCACCAAAGAGCCAAGGGUGAUCACGGCCGGGACAAAGGUCUCCUUUGACCACUUCUGAGCUUUCACCAUGAAACAGAAAUACACGGCAGACAUCCUUCUCCUUGGAAUUAAAAAAACCUGCUGUUGAAUGAAGAAUAAAGGC
ensembl:lncRNA novel transcript, antisense to UCK2